rnacentral:lncRNA from 1 species
UAUAUUUCAUUUCAGUAACACAUCACAUGAAUUACAAUACAUCAUCCAUCGACUCCUCUACACAUAAAGAUUUCAGGACCAAUAAGUCCACAACAAAAUAGUUCUACAAGUGCAGGUGCACGGCAAAAGGGCCCAACAAGUGCAUAAUCACACAUCAACAUAGUUCGACAAAGAUUGGAUGAGAAGCACAAGUUUUUAUUGAUCACACAUAACAUCAAUGAUAAACGAAGCUUCUUGUUCCCUCCUCCUAACCUGUCUUCUACUUCUGGGUGCUUCAGAUCAUCCUGGUAAUUCAAAUAAUCAAACAUAAGAAAGCAUACGAAAUAAUCAAAUAUUAUAAUGUACAAG